rnacentral:tRNA from 1 species
GGCCAGGUAAGAUGACUUCGAACGGCCUUAAAAUCCGUUGACCGUAAGGUCGUGUGGGUUCGACUCCCACCCUCGGCACCA